GACGAACGCUGGCGGCGUGCUUAACACAUGCAAGUCGAACGGAAAGGCCCUGCUUUUGUGGGGUGCUCGAGUGGCGAACGGGUGAGUAACACGUGAGUAACCUGCCCUUGACUUUGGGAUAACUUCAGGAAACUGGGGCUAAUACCGGAUAGGAGCACCUGCUGCAUGGUGGGGGUUGGAAAGUUUCGGCGGGUGGGGAUGGACUCGCGGCUUAUCAGCUUGUUGGUGGGGUAGUGGCUUACCAAGGCUUUGACGGGUAGCCGGCCUGAGAGGGUGACCGGCCACAUUGGGACGGAGAUACGGCCCAGACUCCUACGGGAGGGAGCAGUGGGGAAUAGUGCACAAUGGGCGGAAGCCUGAUGCAGCAACGCCGCGUGGGGGAUGACGGCCUUCGGGUUGUAAACCGCUUUCGCCUGUGACGAAGCGUGAGUGACGGUAAUGGGUAAAGAAGCACCGGCUAACUACGUG
rnacentral:rRNA from 1 species